AACGAACGCUGGCGGCAUGCCUAACACAUGCAAGUCGAACGAGACCUUCGGGUCUAGUGGCGCACGGGUGCGUAACGCGUGGGAACCUGCCCUUAGGUUCGGCAUAACUCCCCGAAAGGGGUGCUAAUACCGGAUAAUGUCUUCGGACCAAAGAUUUAUCGCCUUUGGAUGUGCCCGCGUUGGAUUAGCUAGUUGGUAGGGUAAAAGCCUACCAAGGCGACGAUCCAUAGCUGGUCUGAGAGGAUGAUCAGCCACACUGAGACUGAGACACGGCCCAGACUCCUACGGGAAGCAGCAGUGGGGAAUAUUGGACAAUGGGCGGAAGCCUGAUCCAGCAAUGCCGCGUGAGUGAUGAAGGCCUUAGGGUUGUAAAGCUCUUUUACCCGGGAUGAUAAUGACAGUACCGGGAGAAUAAGCUCCGGCUAACUCCGUG
rnacentral:rRNA from 1 species